CAUGGCCGCGCACACCCCUUGUUGGCUGGAGCUAAACUAGCUUGCUAAAUCAGUUUAAAUAAGACAGAGCGUGAAAUUUGACUGAUUCAAAUGAUUCUAUUGACUUUUAUAAAUCCAGAUCACAGAGAUUUAUUGUACACAAAAAACGUUUGCAAAACUGGCUUAGUAGCUAACGACAUUGAAUUUGUACGUGGUUAGCCAAACUAGUUAUGCUAUGCUAGCUUUAGAACAACCAUAACAAACAGUCAUGCUAGCUAGCUAAAUUAUUUAAAUAUACAUAUAUUGAGGGAAGUUGUUGGGGUUUCUAACAGCAAGACAGGCUGGACUUGACGACACACUUUGCCUGAGACGGGCAGAGUCAACAGUGAGGGGGAAAGUUGGCCAAAUCAUCAUCCCAUCUGUGAACACUAUUCCAUUGUUUCUCUGAUGGAUUCCCUUUUAUACGUCCAGUCGGUAUGUCCACAGGUUCAGUGUGCAGUGGUACCCGUUCGACACGGGCAUAAUUGUGUCCAGCUCCUUCGACAAAACCAUGAAGGCCUGGGACACUGAGACACUAAAAGCCCAAUGAAGUGUUCCAGUAUGAAGGGAACGUCUACUGCCACCACAUGUCCCCCAUCUCCAGGAAUCACAGCCUCAUCGUGUGUGUGUGUGUGUGUGUGUGUGUGUGUGUGUGUGUGUGUGUUGCUGCGUUUACGCGGCCCAAUUCUGAUAUUUUUUCCAAUUAUUAGUCUUUUGACCAAUCAGACCAAUAAUAGCAAGUUUGUGUGCUUAAAAUAUUAUUUACUGUCUAUAAUAAUCCGUUAUUACAUUUGUAAAGCUCUUUUCAUUAUACAGAAUAAUCUCAAAGUGCAUAAAAUAAAAACCUAUUAGAAAAAAUAAAUGGACACAACUAGACAGUGCAACUGACACAAAGAACACAGCUGACGCUACAAGGAACAGUCUGUUUUACUGAUAUAAUCUAAGAAUGAACAUUGGCUCUACUCUCCAGGCAGUCCAUUCUGUAAACCUGUCAACAAGGUAUUCCUUUGCCCCUUUUGCUAUGCUCAUUCCACAGCAUACUUCUGUUCUGAUGCAAGGCCUGCAGCAAUGAUCCUCUCCACUGAUUUUGAAAGCUGUUAGCAUGACGGCUGAUUGUGAAACAGCGGUGUGGUGGGUUGACAAAGUGUAUGCCCCUUGGGGUCUCAGGAGUUGGAAAUGACUCCGGAACAGUUCAGAUAGACAUGAUAGGAAUCCAGGCGGUGCCCCCCUGCUGACAGAGCAGGACAGACUGGUUGUACAUACCUGCCAAAUCACUUGUUUAACACCCACACUGCUCUCUUUCCUCAUCGCUCUCUCAAUGCAUUUCAAAGGGGCUCUCGCUCUAUCUCUCUGUGU